ACACAGCCAACAUAAUAUCAAAAUAUAUUUUAUUCUGGACCCUCUUUCAGAUCUGAUUCAAAUUACAGUUGUCAAAGCAAUACAAUGCAAAGGGAAACUGCAACAACAACAACAAAAAAUGUGCCUAGAAAGGAUAAAAGGGUUAUUAGGGACAAAUCAUUGUGAUGUGGAACCAAAAUACAUCAUAAGUGUAAUUAACAUGGUCCAGGACAGCAUAGAACAUCUAUAUCAGUCUUCCUUACACAAUAAUCAUGAAAACUGAACAAUAAAGUUCUUUAACAUGUACAAAAAACUGUCAUGGGCUGGUUUACACUUUUACAACAGUUUUAAAGUUAACUGGAUAACUAAAAAAUGAUGCAGACAUUUUAAUCCAGUGCUAUAGGUAGGCUCACAGAAUUAGACCCAAAGGAUUUGUAAAAAUCAAAAUGAAAACAUAGUUACAAUGUCAAAGUCAGGAAAGAAGAUUAUUUCUAUAUUCGAGGAUCACAGAGCUACAAAAUGUAGUCUGCAUGUUUUUGUUUGUAAUGAGAUGGAUAAGUACACAUCAGACUAGAUUUAACAUGCAGAAUGUUUUCUUGAACUUAUCCAGAAAUUCCAAAGAAAACAUCAUGAACAGCUGGCUUACUAGGAAAAAAAUAAUAUGCCCUAGUUAUUCACCCUGCUUCAACACUUGUCAACAUAAAGCAGAAAUAAAGAAUGCUAUCAAUAUCUCAGAGCUACUGAAAUAAGACAUCAAAUUUCUAAAUCAGUGUAUUAAAAAAGUGAACACUUCCUUUUUUCCACUCCUACAUUUAACUAGAAUCAUGUUUUAAAAAACUUGAUAUUAAAUGUGACACUUCAGAGCUACAACUGGAAGGAGUAAUUCAUAACUUCUCUACUCUCCUUUCAUCCCUGCUGGUUAAGAGAAGGGAGAGAAGGAGAAACAAACAAAACAAACAAAAACAACCAGGGUCUCUUCUGGGUUUGCUGCUAUUCCCCAAAAUGUCGGCAUUUGCUGCCAUGCCACAAUGUUGGUCCACUGAAACAGGAUUUCUACGGUAAUUCACCAUAUGCAAGUACUGUCCUUAGCAUGUGAGAAUAAACACGGUUCUGUAGAAAUGUACAAUGUGUUUAAGAAAAUGAAAAUUGUCUUAAAAGAGUAAACACUGCAUUUGAGAUUUAUUUUUCUACUUAGUAAAACUUGUCAUUUUUGCUUGCUGAAGUAUGAUCAUUUGUGAUUCCUUUAAAUAGCAAAAAUGCACAGUUCUCCUUAGGCCUCUACUCAUUUAUAGUUUACAUUACUCUUAACAAAAUCACUCUACAUAAACAGAUAGCUCCUUAAAAAUAGUACUCUCUCUCAUUAAAUCUAAUUUGACAGAAAGAAGUUUAAGGAAAAAAGGAGUGCUUUAUAAGUUAAGUGAAAAAGUACAAAUCUUUGGCCUUUCUCUUGACAUUUUUAUAUGUCAAAAAGCACAAAACCUUCAUGUAAUUCAAUCUAGUGAUUACUUUUUGCACCAUAAUUUGCUUUUACACCACAAAAGGAGGCACUUUCAGUAUCUGUAAAAGAUGUUUAAUCCUAAGACAUACUUACCUAGAGAAUAAUUAAAACAAUUUAAAACACUCUAAGACCUAUUAGGAAAUUACCAGUUUACCACUUCUAAAAGUCACUUGAAAGUCAAUAAUAUUACCUGAUUCAUUAUAGGGGAUUGGAACAAAUAUAAGUAAAGAAUUUCCUAUGUGGAGAAAAAGAUAUUCCUUUAUGACAUUUAAGAGUGGCAGCUGCUCUUUCUUUAUUCUAUUUUGAUCAAGGAGUAUUCAUUCAUUUUCCUUCCUGUUUUUCCUUGUAAGCCCCUUGUAGUAGUGUAUAAAAUGAUGGUCUAUGAUGAACACCACAGAAAAACUACUGGGUUCAACUGAUCUUCAGGAGUUAAGUUGUUAGGAAAAAAAUAGGAAAAAUGAGUAAGAACCCCAAAUAUAGAACUUUACAGCUGUGAAACUUCAUCUCUUGCAAACAUGUUACUGUUCAAAUUAGAGACGAUCUUAUGUUUUUCUACUGGAGCAGCAUCGUGGCACAUCAGCAGGCAAUGAUGAUGUUGAGAACAGCAGCAAAAACAAUCUUAUGUUCAUGAAGAACCCAAGCCCACAAAAUGGAUACCUUUCAAGAGAAGUUCAUACUUAAAAAGACCCAAGACUUCAGGAUAAUAAAGCUCUGCAUUUAUAAUCUUUUAUAUGUCCUAUUGUGACUAUUAUGCUAAAGUAAAAUAGCUAAAGAAUUUUAAAAAAACAAAAAAGAUGACAGUAUCAUAAAAAUGUAGCUGUCUAUUUUGGCAGCUAUAUUGCAGAAUUUCUUGCUAUCUUUUAAUCAGCUGGGGAAAAAAAGUCAACUAUGCAAAUGAAUAAACUGUCCAUAUCAAAAUACAAAAGUACUAUCAAUAAUCACCUCUGACUUUCAGAUUUAAGUUCAGUGCAAUUGACAAAUGCAUCGCUAAAGGAAAAUGCAGCUUAAACAUACUCAAAACAUUUGUGUCUAUUCCUGGGAGCACAUUUAAAAAUUAUUGCACAGAUUUUUAAAUUUUUAUUUAUUUUUUUUUAAACAACAACAGAGGUCAACCAUAGAUGUGAACCUCUAGCAAGAAAAGCAGGAUUUCAAGUGCCAGAUACUCAGCAUAUUAGGUUUCCUACAUAAGUCACAGGGUAAUAAGUUGUAAGUAUCUCUAAUGUGAUCCAAAACCCUAAAAACAGCUGGCACAAAACCAUCAUGACUGUCUCUCUGGAUGUAAAUUUUAAAAAAUAUUAUUACAGUAUCAUAGUCCCCACUAACAACAACUGGGGUACAUAUAACAAUGUAUUGUGAAAUUAAGUGUAUUUAUUCUCUUACCAAUAGCAAAUGCUACCCUACCUUAGGAAAACCAAGACUUGCUUCAAUCAAUGCUGUUUUGUAAAAAUAGCAAAACAACAAAUGCAAAUCAAAGCUGCAUUACUUGGGUUAAAUCAGUUUCUACUUAGAACACAGGCUAAAAUUUUGGUAGUAAAGGCCUCAGAGUAAUUAGUGACAGGAAUAGUGUUUUUAAUUUGCUAAGCUUGAAAAUAAGCAAUUGCUUAAUCAAAAUCUGUAAGGUAUAAAUUUGACAACAAUUUUCUUCAAACUUGACACUCCUGGAUCAUUUUAAUCAUGACAAACCCUGUUAAUAUACAUACACAUGGCCUCAUGCUAACAUUUAUCUGUAUAUUUUACUUUAGUUGCAUGAGCACAAGGAGAUUUGAUACCUACGUCUUUAAGAAAAUACUUGAUAUAAACAGAGUAAAAGACAUGAGAUAGUAGUGAUUACUGGAAAAAAAUAGCAGCUUAAAUCUAUCUAUAUUUG
rnacentral:lncRNA from 1 species